AAAAGCUUUAUUUUAUUUAAAUAUUUAUAUUUCUAUUAAAUAAUUUUACUGGGGUAGUGACUUUUGAUAUAUCGAAGUUUGGUAAACAUUAAAGUGGGGUUAGUUCUUAUAUAUAAUAAAAAAUUGAUUAAGUUACUU
rnacentral:rRNA from 1 species